rnacentral:rRNA from 1 species
UACGGAGGGUGCAAGCGUUGCUCGGAAUUAUUGGGCGUAAAGGGUAGGUAGGUGGUCUUAUUUGUCUAAGGUGAAAGCCUCGGGCUUAACCCGAGAAGUGCCUCAGAAACGGUAAGACUAGAGUCCUAGAGAGGGUCGUGGAAUUCCCGGUGUAGCGGUGAAAUGCGUAGAGAUCGGGAGGAACACCAGAGGCGAAGGCGGCGACCUGGAUAGGCACUGACACUCAACUACGAAAGCGUGGGGAGCAAACAGG